AUUGAACGCUGGCGGCAGGCCUAACACAUGCAAGUCGAACGAGUGGCGGAAGGGUGAGUAAUGUCUGGGAAACUGCCCGAUGGAGGGGGAUAACUACGGGAAACGGUAGCUAAUACCGCAUACCAUCGGAGGAGCCCAGAUGGGAUUAGCUAGUAGGUGGGGUAACGGCUCCCCUAGGCGACGAUCCCUAGCUGGUCUGAGAGGAUGACCAUCCCCACUGGAACUGAGACACGGUCCAGACUCCUACGGGAGGCAGCAGUUGGGAAUAUUGCACAAUGGGCGCAAGCCUGAUGCAGCCAUGCCGCGUGUAUGAAGAAGGCCUUCGGGUUGUAAAGUACUUUCAGCGAGGAGGCGUUACUCGCAGAAGAAGCACCGGCUAACUCCGUGCCAGCAGCCGCGGUAAUUC
rnacentral:rRNA from 1 species